rnacentral:rRNA from 1 species
GAAAAGAAUGCUAAUACCGCAUAAUAUAUAUUUAUCGCAUGGUAGAUAUAUCAAAGAUUUAUCGCUUAGAGAUGGACUCGCGUCCGAUUAGUUAGUUGGUGAGGUAACGGCUCACCAAGACCGCGAUCGGUAGCCGGACUGAGAGGUUGAACGGCCACAUUGGGACUGAGACACGGCCCAGACUCCUACGGGAGGCAGCAGUGGGGGAUAUUGCGCAAUGGGGGAAACCCUGACGCAGCAACGCCGCGUGAAGGAUGAAGGUCUUCGGAUUGUAAACUUCUUUUAUUAAGGACGAAGAAAGUGACGGUACUUAAUGAAUAAGCUCCGGCUAACUACGUGCCAGCAGCCGCGGUAAUACGUAGGGAGCAAGCGUUGUCCGGAUUUACUGGGUGUAAAGGGUGCGUAGGCGGCUUUGCAAGUCAGAUGUGAAAUCUAUGGGCUCAACCCAUAGCCUGCAUUUGAAACUGCAGAGCUUGAGUGAAGUAGAGGCAGGCGGAAUUCCCCGUGUAGCGGUGAAAUGCGUAGAGAUGGGGAGGAACACCAGUGGCGAAGGCGGCCUGCUGGGCUUUAACUGACGCUGAGGCACGAAAGCGUGGGUAGCAAACAGGAUUAGAUACCCUGGUAGUCCACGCUGUAAACCCUUAAUGGUAGGUGUGGGGGGUCUGACCCCUUCCGUGCC